GUCUUCGUAGCUCAGCUGGUAGAGCAAUUGACUCUUAAUCAAUGGGCCCUGGGUUCGAGUCCCAGCGAGGACA
rnacentral:tRNA from 1 species